GACAGAGGGUGCAAACGUUGCUCGGAAUCACUGGGCGUAAAGCGCGUGUAGGCGGUCCGGUAAGUCCGCUGUGAAAGUCGGGGGCUCAACCCUCGGAUGCCGGUGGAUACUGUCGGGCUUGAGUACGGAAGAGGCGAGUGGAAUUCCUGGUGUAGCGGUGAAAUGCGCAGAUAUCAGGAGGAACACCAAUUGCGAAGGCAGCUCGCUGGGACGUUACUGACGCUGAGACGCGAAAGCGUGGGGAGCAAACAGG
rnacentral:rRNA from 1 species